rnacentral:rRNA from 1 species
UACGAAGGGGGCUAGCGGUGUUCGGGCGCACGGGGCGUAAAGGGCACGUAGGCGGGUCGUUGAGUCGGGGGUGAAAUCCCGAGGCUCAACCUCGGAACUGCCUUCGAUACUGGCGAUCUUGAGUUCGGGAGAGGUGGGUGGAAUUCCUAGUGUAGAGGUGAAAUUCGUAGAUAUUAAGAAGAACACCGGUGGCGAAGGCGGCCCACUGGCCCGAUAAUGACGCUGGGGUGCGAAAGCGUGGGGAACAAAUAGG